GAUGAACGCUGGCGGCGUGCCUAAUACAUGCAAGUCGAGCGAACAGAUAAGGAGCUUGCUCCUUUGAAGUUAGCGGCGGACGGGUGAGUAACACGUGGGUAACCUACCUAUAAGACUGGGAUAACUUCGGGAAACCGGAGCUAAUACCGGAUAACAUUUAGAACCGCAUGGUUCUAAAGUGAAAGAUGGUUUUGCUAUCACUUAUAGAUGGUCCCGCGCCGUAUUAGCUAGUUGGUAAGGUAACGGCUUACCAAGGCGACGAUACGUAGCCGACCUGAGAGGGUGAUCGGCCACACUGGAACUGAGACACGGUCCAGACUCCUACGGGAGGCAGCAGUAGGGAAUCUUCCGCAAUGGGCGAAAGCCUGACGGAGCAACGCCGCGUGAGUGAUGAAGGGUUUCGGCUCGUAAAACUCUGUUAUUAGGGAAGAACAAAUGUGUAAGUAACUGUGCACAUCUUGACGGUACCUAAUCAGAAAGCCACGGCUAACUACGUG
rnacentral:rRNA from 1 species